rnacentral:rRNA from 1 species
UACGUAGGGGGCAAGCGUUGUCCGGAUUUAUUGGGCGUAAAGAGCGUGUAGGCGGCCUGGUAGGUCAGCUGUGAAAACUCGAGGCUCAACCUCGAGACGUCGGUUGAAACCACCUGGCUAGAGUCCGGAAGAGGAGAGCGGAAUUCCCGGUGUAGUGGUGAAAUGCGUAGAUAUCGGGAGGAACACCAGUGGCGAAGGCGGCUUCCUGGCCUGUUCUUGACGCUGAGGCGCGAAAGCUAGGGUAGCAAACGGG